rnacentral:lncRNA from 1 species
UCUAGAUUCAUGGCUUUCCAUAUGAAACCAUCCGCAUCCUCGUCCCGCAUCCACAGGUUACCAAGCAUGGGUCCUCUCUCGUGAAAAACCAAGCCACACACUCUCUGUUGGUAUACAGGCCUUUUAUAGACCUAAACACAUCUUAGAUUAGGAUUAGGAAUCCCAGUCAAUCCCAAACAAAGCCCAAAAACCUCUCCAAGCUGUUGGAUCAAGACCACAACAUCCCAGAGCCAUCCGAUCGUGAUCGGUCCAUAGAAUAGUGUCGUAGACCGCACAAAAUGUGUGGGAAAUGCCUGCGCGGUCCACACACCGGCCGUAGACCACCUGAUCCGCCGUGG